UACGUAGGGGGCAAGCGUUGUCCGGAUUUAUUGGGCGUAAAGAGCGUGUAGGCGGCCAGGUAGGUGGGUUGUGAAAACUGGAGGCUCAACCUUCAGACGUCGACCCAAACCCCCUGGCUAGAGUCCGGAAGAGGAGAGUGGAAUUCCUGGUGUAGCGGUGAAAUGCGCAGAUAUCAGGAAGAACACCCGUGGCGAAAGCGGCUCUCUGGACCGGUACUGACGCUGAGACGCGAAAGCGUGGGGAGCGAACAGG
rnacentral:rRNA from 1 species